UCUCCUGGAAAACGGGUGGUAAUGCCGGAUGUUCCACAUGAUCGCAUGUGAUUGUGGGAAAGAUUCUAUCGGCGUGGGAUGGGGUCGCGUCCUAUCAGCUUGUUGGUGAGGUAACGGCUCACCAAGGCUUCGACGGGUAGCCGGCCUGAGAGGGCGACCGGCCACAUUGGGACUGAGAUACGGCCCAGACUCCUACGGGAGGCAGCAGUGGGGAAUAUUGCACAAUGGGCGCAAGCCUGAUGCAGCGACGCCGCGUGAGGGAUGGAGGCCUUCGGGUUGUAAACCUCUUUUGUUUGGGAGCAAGCCUUCGGGUGAGUGUACCUUUCGAAUAAGCGCCGGCUAACUACGUGCCAGCAGCCGCGGUAAUACGUAGGGCGCAAGCGUUAUCCGGAUUUAUUGGGCGUAAAGGGCUCGUAGGCGGCUCGUCGCGUCCGGUGUGAAAGUCCAUCGCUUAACGGUGGAUCUGCGCCGGGUACGGGCGGGCUGGAGUGCGGUAGGGGAGACUGGAAUUCCCGGUGUAACGGUGGAAUGUGUAGAUAUCGGGAAAGAACACC
rnacentral:rRNA from 1 species